GGGAUCAGCCCUUUUGCGAACGAAGUGAGCCAAAAGGGUUGAGGAAAGUCCGCCCACCUAAACAGGCCACUUCCUGAAGGAAGACGGAGAAAUUCCGUGUCUCUGGCUCAGAAACGACACGUCCAUAAUCGAGGAUGAUUGAAUGGCGAAGCGCAUUGAGAAAUGUGCGAGUUAACCCCUUGACGUUGAUUAUGGGACCGAUGAAACGGCGAACACUGGC
rnacentral:RNase_P_RNA from 1 species